AAAAAGAAAAGAAAAAGAGUUGAAAAAGAGCUUAAAACACAAUAAGACAUAAGACCACUCACUAAAAGGAGAACUCAGUGGAAAAUUGAGAAGUUCAGACCAGCUGACCAAAGAACUAAAAUGUUCAAGAGAUUCCAACAUUGAUACUUUAGAGUGAACAUAGUGAAAAUAAUGACUGUAAUACUCUGAACCAUAAGCCUGCUUAUCC
rnacentral:lncRNA from 1 species